rnacentral:sRNA from 1 species
AUUAUAUACUUAUUAGGCCAUCACAAAAAUUAGUCUGUACAGCAAGGAAGAUAAGAACAAUUAGCAAUUUAAGUUCUUUUAGUCUAUAUAAUUGAAGCCUUGUUGCCAAGAAAACAUAUCCUAUAUACUAUAUAUCUACAGUGAUAUACACUAGAGAUAAUCAUAGAGAUGAUUGUGUCCCAUACUAUAUUUAUGGUUUAAUAAAUAAAGUGCUAUUCUGUUCCUUG